GAUGAACGCUGGCGGCGUGCCUAAUACAUGCAAGUCGAGCGAACAGACGAGGAGCUUGCUCCUCUGACGUUAGCGGCGGACGGGUGAGUAACACGUGGAUAACCUACCUAUAAGACUGGGAUAACUUCGGGAAACCGGAGCUAAUACCGGAUAAUAUAUUGAACCGCAUGGUUCAAUAGUGAAAGACGGUUUUGCUGUCACUUUUAGAUGGUUCCGCGCCGCAUUGGCUAGUUGGUAAGGUAACGGCUUACCAAGGCAACGAUGCGUAGCCGACCUGAGAGGGUGAUCGGCCACACUGGAACUGAGACACGGUCCAGACUCCUACGGGAGGCAGCAGUAGGGAAUCUUGCGCAAUGGGCGAAAGCCUGACGGAGCAACGCCGCGUGAGUGAUGAAGGUCUUCGGAUCGUAAAACUCUGUUAUUAGGGAAGAACAAAUGUGUAAGUAACUAUGCACGUCUUGACGGUACCUAAUCAGAAAGCCACGGCUAACUACGUG
rnacentral:rRNA from 1 species